GCCAGGCAUGGUGGUGCAUGCCUGUAAUCCCAGCUACUCGGGAGGCUGAGACAGGAGAAUUGCUUGAAUCUGGGAGGUGGAGGUUGCAGUGAGCUGAGAUCGUGCCACUGCAUUCCAGCCUGGGUGACAGAGUAAGACUCUGUCUCAA
rnacentral:SRP_RNA from 2 species